UUUCUGCUGAGGACGAUCGGUCCGCCCUCUGGGUGAGUAUCUGGCUCGGCCUUUGCAUCUUCUUGAAGAACGUAACUGCACUUGACUGUGUGGUGCGGUAUGCAAGACUUUUACUUUGAGGAAAUUAGAAUGUUUGAAGUAGGCACAUGCCUUGAAUACAUUAGCAUGGAAUAAUGAGAUAGGACCUUGGUUCUAUUUUGUUGGUUUCUAGAAUUGAGGUAAUGAUUAAUAGGGAUAGUUGGGGGCAUUCGUAUUUAACU
rnacentral:rRNA from 1 species